UCACAACAUGAUGUAUUGAAACAAAGUCAUCCUUCUCAACCAGCAGCAUCUUUUAACAAUACCACUACUUUAGGCACAAUUAUGUAUUGUUAUCAUAAUGACAUUACCGGUUUUCCCUGUUCCGGAAUAUAUUGUAAAGAUGUCACCCUUCUCCGGUACCAGUAGCUAUGUUUGAAGAUGCCACAAAUCUGGAGCUCCAGGGUUUAUGUCUAAUACUUCUUCAAGA
rnacentral:lncRNA from 1 species